rnacentral:rRNA from 1 species
AUUGAACGCUGGCGGCAGGCCUAACACAUGCAAGUCGAGCGCGAAAGUCUUCGGAUGAGUAGAGCGGCGAACGGGUGAGUAACGCGUAGGAAUUUGCCCAGUAGUGGGGGACAACAUCUC